AAUGUAACCUCUCCUUUCUAGUUAAAUGGUGAGUUUCUUUUUCCACUCCUUAAGCAUAGUGCCACUCUUAAAAAGAAGGAAGUUAGCAAAUAAAUAUCACUAACAUUACUAACCACAUCACCAUUCACUCAUAUUUUAUUCCCACUGAGUGAGAGAGACUACACCAUAUUGAGAUAACUAGAGGAAAGACUUGGAAAGGAAAAAAUGAAAAGCUUGAGGAAAAUAUCGAAUCAAACAAAAGUCUUUACCCAAUCCAUUCCAAGGGCGAGUAAGGAUGUUAGGAAAUUGUCUUGGAUAAAAUGGGAUACGAAAAAUGGAGGUUUGGGGGUCAGGAAGGCUGAAGGACUUUAAUUUCUCGCUUCUUGGUAAAUGGACGUGGAGGAUGUUGGAGGACAGGGGAAGUUUAUGGUAUAAUAUGUUAUGUGCGAAGUAUGGUGAGGAGGGAGUAGUUAUGUGUUGUUGGAGGCGGGGGGUUCCGUGCGGUGGCAAAACGUGAACCAUAUUAGGUGGGGGGCGGUUUGUUAGAUAAUCGGUGGUUAUUGGAUAAUAUUUCUAUAUUGCUGGGGGAUGGGGUUUCUUCGUUGCUCUGGAAGGAACCUUGGUUGGAUGGUGUUUCUUUAGCGGAUAGAUAUGCUAGAUUGCUUAAUCUUGUUAUUAAUAAAUGUGCUACUGUUGUGGAGUUGUCCUCUCUGGGUUGGGAGGUUAAUGGUGAGGCCUGGAAGUGGAGGAGAUUGUUUGCGUGAGAGGAGGGGCUGAUGAGGGAGUGUGCAGAGCAGCUCUCACUUGUGGUUUUGCAGGUUGGCGUGUCUGACUGGUGGAUUUGGAAGCUUCAUUCUUCUCACAUAUACCCGGUCAAAAGUGCUUUUAAUCACUUGACUAGUUCGGAUGUGGGAAUUGAUGACCGCUACAAUCAUAUUUUAUGGCUUAAGUAAAUUCUGCUUAAGGUCAAUAUUUUUAUUUGGCGUUUGUUUUUGAAUAGAUUAGCAACUAAGAUAAAUCUGUUUUGGAGAAAUAUCUUGAAUUAUAACGAUUCUUUUUGUUCGGCCUCUUGCAUAUUGGUUCAAGAUCAGGAUCAUUUGUUCAUUUCCUAUGCUUUUAUGGUCAACUUUGGGUUUUAAUAUCGGGAUGGUUCGGCAUUUCAACAACUCUUCAGGGUUCCUUAUUUGAGCAUUUUCUUCACUUUGAAGGGCUUGGGGAUUUCUCCUACAAGUCUCGCAACAAGAGAAAAUUUGCGCCAAACGCGAUUUAUACUUUUCAUGAUUGGUGGUUCAGUUAUUAACUUAAGCUCUACAAAUGUUGUCUUUACUUUCUUUCUUUGUUUGAAUUGUUUUCUUUAAUCUGAAGCAAAGUUUAAACCUAUAUUAAUAUCAUCUCAUGCAUAUUGA